AUGCUUACCUGGCAGGGGAGACACCAUGAUCUCGAAGGUGGUUUUCCCAGGGCAAGGCUUAUCCAUUGCUUUCUGAAUGUACUGACCCCUGAGAUUUCCCCAAAUGUGGGAAACUCAACUGCAUAGUUUGUGGUAGUGGAGGACUGUGUUCGCACUCUCCCCUG
ensembl:snRNA U1 U1 spliceosomal RNA